UGACAUAUGUCCAAAAUUCUGCCAAGUUGCUGAACAGAAAAAGGAAAGACCCAUCUACUGUUAAACCUGGUUUGCAUAACGUAUGUAAAUCAAUAGCAGCUGAAAACUCCAAAUUUUAGAGAUCGAACAGCUACCAAGAUCCAGGACAGGAAACUACUGGACUAUGAAUGGGCCACUGGACUAUGAAUGGUCCAUUCCUGCCGGAAGAGAAGUUCGUCAAAAGGAGAGAGAAGACCCGAAACUGGAGGCGAACUAGUGGAUGUACUGAGAUGAACGUCCACUCGCUUGGCUUGUGGAUAAACUGAAAAGGCGCCAUUAUAUUGCGACGCGAGUCCAGAAGUAAUACCGAC